UUGUGUUUGGUAAUUAGUAUAUAUUGUGUAUACGUAGUGUAUAUUUUGUAUAUAAGUAGUAUAUAUUGUAUUUAAGUAGCAUAUAUUGUAUAUAAGUAGUGUAUAUUGUGUUGUAGUUAGUAAUUAGUAUAAAUUGUAUAUAAGUAGUAUAUAUUGAUAAAAGAAUGUUGUCAUUAGUAUAUUGUGUUGUAUGUUAUAUAUUGUAUGUUAUAUAAAUAUUCAAGGAUUGAUAUGGAUGUAAAGGACAAAGAAAUAUUGACACAAAAGAUGUUCAAGUAUAUGAUAAAGAGCAUAUUUAUUGACCAAAAUGGCAUAUUUUCUUAGUCUUCCUUCCCCCAAUGAAAUGAGCACAACAUCGUACUAAUACCACCAUUAAAAGAAAAAAAACUAAAAGAAGACAUGCCAAUGUAUACAUGAUAAUUUAUGCAUUAUUUCUAACAAAUCUCAUAAAACCUUCAAGGUUAGGAGGUGGUUGUGUUGGCGGUGGUGGAAAUGAAGCUUGUUCAUCACCACUACCGGGUGAAGAUGUUUCCUGAGCAAGUUCAGCUAGCAUUUCUUCAUAGCACUCGUCUAUUUCUGGUUGUGAUUCAGCUAGCUCAAAGUUCCAUCUUUCGGCGUGGAUCCAAUUUCGAAAAAGAACUGAUUUUU
rnacentral:lncRNA from 1 species